rnacentral:lncRNA from 1 species
GGCUCACCAAUCAAAAUAUUACCAAUCCAACUCCAGGCUUGGAUGGGCCUAACCUAAAUUUCUUUCACCUUAAAGAAACUUAUAAAGAGAACCCAAAAAUAUAAGAUAUAGAAGUUUUAGUACAAAAUAAUAUAGAAAAUAAAAACUCUUUUUAGCUUAGAGAAGUUGCCGAUGAGUUGCUCAAUUGAGGCUUGAACUUCUCUUCUUUGAUGCUUGAAAAGAUAUAGCUGAUGAAG